rnacentral:rRNA from 1 species
UUUGCCCACUGUCUCUUACCCAUGUCUUUUGAGUACUUACGUUUCCUCGGUGGGCUCGCCCGCCGGUUGGACAAUUUAAACCAUUUGCAGUUGCAAUCAGCGUCUGAAAAACAUAAUAGUUACAACUUUCAACAACGGAUCUCUUGGUUCUGGCAUCGAUGAAGAACGCAGCGAAAUGCGAUAAGUAGUGUGAAUUGCAGAAUUCAGUGAAUCAUCGAAUCUUUGAACGCACAUUGCGCCCCUUGGUAUUCCAUGGGGCAUGCCUGUUCGAGCGUCAUUUGUACCUUCAAGCUCUGCUUGGUGUUGGGUGUUUGUCUCGCCUUGCGCGUAGACUCGCCUUAAAACAAUUGGCAGCCGGCGUAUUGAUUUCGGAGCGCAGUACAUCUCGCGCUUUGCACUCAUAACGACGACGUCCAAAAGUACUUUUUACACUCUUGACCUCGGAUCAGGUAGGGAUACCCGCUGAACUUAAGCAUAUCAAAAGCCGGAGGAA